rnacentral:rRNA from 1 species
CUACGGGUGGCAGCAGUGGGGAAUAUUGGACAAUGGGCGAAAGCCUGAUCCAGCCAUGCCGCGUGUGUGAAGAAGGCCUUCGGGUUGUAAAGCACUUUCAGUGGGGAAGAAAGCCUUGGGGCUAAUACCCUCGAGGAAGGACAUCACCCACAGAAGAAGCACCGGCUAACUCCGUGUCAGCAGCCGCGGUAAUACGGAGGGUGCGAGCGUUAAUCGGAAUUACUGGGCGUAAAGCGCGCGUAGGCGGUCUGAUAAGCCGGUUGUGAAAGCCCCGGGCUCAACCUGGGAACGGCAUCCGGAACUGUCAGGCUAGAGUGCAGGAGAGGAAGGUAGAAUUCCCGGUGUAGCAGUGAAAUGCGUAGAGAUCGGGAGGAAUACCAGUGGCGAAGGCGGCCUUCUGGACUGACACUGACGCUGAGGUGCGAAAGCGUGGGUAGCAAACAGGAUUAGAUACCCGAGUAGUC